GACGAACGCUGGCGGCGUGCCUAAAACAUGCAAGUCGAACGGGGCCUUCGGACCCAGUGGCGAACGGCGGAGUAAUACAUAAGCAACGUGCCCUGAAGACUGGGAUAUACGAUGGAAACGUCGGGCAAUACCAGAUGUGGUUGGGAGGAGUCAUCUUCAUCCAAUUAAACGGAUUUAUUCGCUUCGGGAGCGGCUUGUGGCCUAUCAGCUAGUUGGUGAGGUAAAGGCUCACCAAGGCGACGACGGGUAGGGGUCUGAGAGGAUGAUCCCCUCGAGUGGGACUGAGACACGGCCCACACACCUACGGGUGGCAGCAGUUGGGAAUCUUGCACAAUGGGGGAAACCCUGAUGCAGCGACGCCGCGUGGAGGAUGAAGGAUUUCGGCUGUAAACUCCUUUUACAGGGAAAGACUUAGGACGGUACCCUGUGAAUAAGCUCCGGCUAACUACGUGCCAGCAGCCGCGGUAAU
rnacentral:rRNA from 1 species